GAGACACGCUGGCGGCGUGCCUAACACAUGCAAGUCGAACGGGGGGAACAUGAAGUAUUUCGGUACGGAAUGCGCCCCUAGUGGCGAACGGGUGAGUAACACGUGGGCAACCUGCCCCAGACUGGGGGAUAACAUUGUGAAAACAGUGCUAAUACCGCAUGACAGGGUUCCGGGCAUCCGGGACCCUUGAAAGGAGAAAUCCGGUCAGGGAUGGGCCCGCGUCCAAUUAGCUAGUUGGCGGGGUAACGGCCCACCAAGGCGACGAUUGGUAGCCGAACUGAGAGGUUGAUCGGCCACAUUGGGACUGAGACACGGCCCAGACUCCUACGGGAGGCAGCAGUGGGGAAUAUUGGGCAAUGGGCGAAAGCCUGACCCAGCGACGCCGCGUGAAGGAUGAAGGUCUUCGGAUUGUAAACUUCUUUGAUCAGGGAAGAAAGAGAUGACGGUACCUGAAAAACAAGCCACGGCUAACUACGUG
rnacentral:rRNA from 1 species